rnacentral:lncRNA from 1 species
CAAGAGUUUCUGGGCAACCCAGAAUGUGACGCCCCCAAAAUAGGUAUACAUCACCUAUUCUGAGUCGCCAAAUACAUGGUACAGAAAAUAAAUACAAUCUUAAAUAUACAACAUGAGCUGUGAGUUUUAAUAGAAAUAUUAUCUUCUAAACAGUAUUCAAACUCAAAAUAAGUCCUCAAUACAUUUAUUAUCAUACUAUUUCAUAGAAUAUUGAGGACUACUAAUGCUAUCAUCUGGACCGUCACUCCG